GACGAACGCUGGCGGCGUGCUUAACACAUGCAAGUCGAACGGUGACGAUCAAGCUUGCUUGGUCUGAUCAGUGGCGAACGGGUGAGUAACACGUGAGUAACCUGCCCCAGACUCUGGGAUAACCCCGGGAAACCGGAGCUAAUACCGGAUAUGACAUGCCCCUGCAUGGGGAGUGUGUGGAAAGUUUUUUCGGUCUGGGAUGGACUCGCGGCCUAUCAGCUUGUUGGUGAGGUAAUGGCUCACCAAGGCGACGACGGGUAGCCGGCCUGAGAGGGCGAACGGCCACACUGGGACUGGGACACGGCCCAGACUCCUACGGGAGGCAGCAGUGGGGAAUAUUGCACAAUGGGCGAAAGCCUGAUGCAGCGACGCCGCGUGAGGGAUGACGGCCUUCGGGUUGUAAACCUCUUUCAGCAGGGAAGAAGCGCAAGUGACGGUACCUGCAGAAGAAGCACCGGCUAACUACGUGCCAGCAGCCGCCGUAACAC
rnacentral:rRNA from 1 species